CGAUUGAUCAGAUACCGUCGUAGUCUCAACCAUAAACUAUGUGGACCAACGAUCCGAGGAAGUUACAUGGAUGACUCUCCGGGCAGUUUGUGAGAAAUCAUAAGUAUUUGCAUUCCGGGGGGAGUAUGGUCGCAAGGCUGAAACUUAAAGGAAUUGACGGAAGGGCACCACCAGGAGUGGAACCUGCGGCUUAAUUUGACUCAACACGGGGAAACUUACCAGGUCCGGACACAGUUAGGAUUGACAGAUUGAGAGCUCUUUCUUGAUUCUGUGGGUGGUGGUGCAUGGCCGUUUUUAGUUGGUGGAGUGAUUUGUCUGGUUAAUUCCGUUAACGAACGAGACCUUAACCUAUUAAUUAGUUAUGCGAUCAUGAGCUUCGGCUCUUUCCGAUCGUGGACAACUUCUUAGAGGGACUCUCGGCAUCUCUAGCCGAUGGAAGUUUGAGGCUAAAACAGGUCUGUGAUGCCCUUAGAUGUCCUGGGCCGCACGCGCGUUACACUGACGAAUGCAACGAGUUCUUCCUUCUCCGAUGGGAGUGGGUAAGCUUUUCAAAGUUCGUCGUGAUGGGGAUUGAACCUUGCAAUUAUUGUUCAUGAACGAGGAAUUCCUAGUAAGCGCAGUUCAUCAAACUGCGUUGAUUACGUCCCUGCCCUUUGUACACACCGCCCGUCGCUAGUACCGAUUGAAUGGUCCGGUGAGGAUUCAGGAUGGCAGAGCUUUAGCUUGCCCGAAAGGGUAAGCGGGUUCAGCCAGAAUCUGUUCAAACCGUGCCAUUUAGAGGAACUAAAAGUCGUAACAAGGUUUCCGUAGGUGAACCUGCAGAAGGAUCA
rnacentral:rRNA from 1 species